rnacentral:rRNA from 1 species
CAUUUACGGAGAGUUUGAUCCUGGCUCAGGACGAACGCUGGCGGCGUGCUUAACACAUGCAAGUCGAACGGUGAAGAGAAGCUUGCUUCUUGGAUCAGUGGCGAACGGGUG